rnacentral:rRNA from 1 species
UACAGAGGUCUCAAGCGUUGUUCGGAUUCAUUGGGCGUAAAGAGCGUGUAGGCGGCCAGGUAGGUCUGCUGUGAAAACUCGAGGCUCAACCUCGAGACGUCGGCGGAAACUUUCUGGCUAGAGUCCGGAAGAGGAGAAUGGAAUUCCUGGUGUAGCGGUGAAAUGCGCAGAUAUCAGGAAGAACACCCGUGGCGAAGGCGGUUCUCUGGGACGGUACUGACGCUGAGACGCGAAAGCGUGGGGAGCGAACAGG